GGGGUUGUAGCUCAUUGGUAGAGUGCUUGUCUAGCAUGUAUGAGGAACUGGGUUCAAUUCUCAGCACCACCU
rfam:Ictidomys tridecemlineatus contig065480, whole genome shotgun sequence.